rnacentral:rRNA from 1 species
UACGAAGGGAGCGAGCGUUGUUCGGAAUCACUGGGCUUAAAGCGUAUGUAGGCGGCCAUCCAAGUCAGGAGUGAAAUCCCGGGGCUUAACCCCGGAAUUGCUUUUGAAACUAGAUGGCUAGUAUCCCGGAGAGGUUGGCGGAAUUCCGAGUGUAGAGGUGAAAUUCGCAGAUAUUCGGAGGAACACCAGUGGCGAAGGCGGCCAACUGGACGGGUAUAGACGCUGAGGUACGAAAGCGUGGGGAUCAAACAGG